rnacentral:rRNA from 1 species
GUAAUACGUAGGGUGCAAGCGUUGUCCGGAAUUAUUGGGCGUAAAGAGCUCGUAGGCGGUUUGUCGCGUCUGCUGUGAAAUCCCGAGGCUCAACCUCGGGCUUGCAGUGGGUACGGGCAGACUAGAGUGCGGUAGGGGAGAUUGGAAUUCCUGGUGUAGCGGUGGAAUGCGCAGAUAUCAGGAGGAACACCGAUGGCGAAGGCAGAUCUCUGGGCCGUAACUGACGCUGAGGAGCGAAAGCAUGGGGAGCGAACA